rnacentral:tRNA from 1 species
GCGGGGGUGCCCGAGCAAGGUCAAAGGGGUCGGGCUUAGGACCCCAAACGGGUAAGAUCCCCGAUGGUGUAGGCCUGCGUGGGUUCAAAUCCCACCCCCCGCA